CACGUAGGCGGCUUUUUAAGUCAGGGGUGAAAUCCUGGAGCUCAACUCCAGAACUGCCCUUGAUACUGAGAGGCUUGAGUCCGGGAGAGGUGAGUGGAACUGCGAGUGUAGAGGUGAAAUUCGUAGAUAUUCGCAAGAACACCAGUGGCGAAGGCGGCUCACUGGCCCGGUACUGACGCUGAGGUGCGAAAGCGUGGGAGCAAACA
rnacentral:rRNA from 1 species